UCUCUUUUUCAGAUCUAUUUCCUCUGAGUUCUCUCUUUCUCAAUCGAUGAAGGACUCCCAGAGAUGGAUUGCAACACUCCCAAUCCAAUCUGAGGGUGGAAUGGCAUUCGUGUUCGUAGCAAGGGAGAAUUUCAUUAUCUCGAGCUUGAAUUGGUCCUCUCACUCAUCUGCGCGGAAGAUUUGUGAUUCCAGGGCAUUGGGUUAAUGAAUUUUGACAGGAGGCAUGGGUUUCAAGAUGCCAACUCCCCAGAUGAAUGCAGGUAAGUCAAUGGAGACUACAGCUGAGAUAGAAAACAAGGUAGAUACGGCUGGGGAUUUGGCCCUCUUUGCUAAAGGAACAUACAGAGGCAACUAGAGAUGAUGAUGGUGUUGAUGAUGAUGAAGAAUAGGAGGAUGUGGAGGGUGUUCGUAAUUUUGCAGCUCUUUGUACUAUCAGUCACAUUUUGGACGGACCAUAUGAGAAUCAUUCAACCAAAGCUCUUUGCAGAUCGUGAAGAAUUUAAUAGCUUUUAGUAAAAGAAUUU